GGAGGGGUCGCAUAGUGGUCGAGUGCACCGUCUUGGAAAGGCGGCAUACCGCAAGGUAUCAGGAGUUCGAAUCUCCUCCCCUCCG
rnacentral:tRNA from 1 species